rnacentral:tRNA from 1 species
GUCCCUGUAGCGCAGGGGAUAGCGCGCUGGACUUCUAAUCCAGAAGCCGUGGGUUCGAAUCCCACCAGGGAUG